rnacentral:lncRNA from 1 species
GCAAUGUUGGUUUCCCUCAUGAUCUUGCUCUUUAUGCUCUGUAGAUGCACAGGAGUCUGUAUCUGUCUAUGCACAGGUAAUUAACCAAUAUCUGUCUUUCAAAUAGGAGAUGCUACAUGGUGUGUAGGCAUGUCUUAAACUGGAAUUAAUUAAGUGAGCUUUUAUCAUUUUCAUCAUCUACAGGCAGGAGUGUUGAAGUUGAUGACUAUGAAGUAACAACAGCUGACUAUGACUAUGAAAAUACUACAUUUGAAUACUACUAUUACAUCAACUCAUCUCUCAGCUAUGAAGAAUUUGAAAUUCUUUCGGAGAAAACAGCAGAAGCAACAGACAAGGUACUUGGGUACACCUUUUCACAAUCACAAUAUAAUGUUAUUUCAGUUCAUCAGAGUCAUCAGUAAUUAAGUCACUAUAUCCUUAUGAAUAAUAUUUUAGAGAAGUGAAAAUGUGUUUUAAACAGAUUAAAACAGUGAGAAAGCGUGACACUACCAUUGUAGCUGCAUGAGUGUAUUGCACAGCUUUGUUAGUGAUGUCAUCAGUUAUAGAGAACUUCAUCAUGCUAACAUAAUUAAUGUUUGCGUUUCACGGACAUUAGAGGACAUUACAUUUAGCAUAUUCUCCCCAAAUUGCAUGAUGCCUGUCACUGUUUCUCGUGGUAAUAAAUACUGUGGAAUUCCCAUCUAGUUGGCUUUUGGUCUCCAGUUCAAAACUUGGGAGUGAUAGCCUUCCAUCUCACACACAGCAAAGCCAUUAAGAAAUCAACCAGGGAUCUAAUCAGUGCUACUCUACCAAGUCUAAAGAUGUUAGCCAAUACCUUUAGAUAUAUAUUUCUGUUGCUCAGUGGGUGAUGAACACCAAACAGCUCAUUACAAAAUAAAUGCACAAGUAAACUUGCCAUGUUGUUCAAAUGGUAAAAGCAGUUAUCAAUCCUCUUCCCUGUAUGGUGGUUUUCUAAUGGUCAUUUGCUCCACUCCAGGCCUCAGAGGUCACACGUUCAGCCUCCACCAUCUUCCUGGUCCUCUCCAUCCAGCAGCUCUUUCACUCACUUUAAAUGGGACCAAAUCUUACAGAACACACACAAAGUUAUAUAAUGAAGAUGCCAAGAGAGAGUUUCUAAAUCACCCCGCCUGCCUGCACAUCGUCAGUCAUGAACAUCACACUAACAUGGAUCUCAGGUGUUUUCAGGGACAAGGGAGAAAUACAUUUAAUUUAAAAGCCAUACAUUUUUAUAUUAAAAGUCAUACAAUAUUAUGAAGCCAACGAUUUUAUCAGUAAUUGUAAUCCAAGCAAGCCUAAUACUUUGCACAGUGCUCUACGUGUUCCAGAAGCACUUCUACUCCUGACUCUAUUUUCUACAAACAGGUUACUGGACCUCCUAUGAGGAAUGUUAUAUUUUUCAAGAAAUGUUUUCUUGGUUGGGGUUGUGCUUGUGAAAAGACUUACACUUGUUUAUAUUUUAGUAUGGUUAUUCAUCAAUAAAUAUUUUAACCUAACCCUCA